rnacentral:rRNA from 1 species
CAGCCGUAAACUAUGCGCGUUAGGUGUAUCGGUGACCACGAGUCACCGAGGUGCCGAAGGGAAACCGUGAAACGUGCCGCCUGGGAAGUACGGUCGCAAGGCUGAAGCUUAAAGGAAUUGGCGGGGGAGCACCACAACAGGUGGAGCCUGCGGUUUAAUCGGACUCAACGCCGGGAAGCUCACCGGAUAGGACAGCAGAAUGAUUGCCGGGCUGAAGACCCUGCAUGACUAGCUGAGAGGAGGUGCAUGGCGUCAGUGACU